rnacentral:rRNA from 1 species
UACAGAGGUCUCAAGCGUUGUUCGGAUUCAUUGGGCGUAAAGGGUGCGUAGGCGGCGCGGUAAGUCGGGUGUGAAAUCUCGGAGCUUAACUCCGAAACUGCAUUCGAUACUGCCGUGCUUGAGGACUGGAGAGGAGACUGGAAUUUACGGUGUAGCGGUGAAAUGCGUAGAUAUCGUAAGGAAGACCAGUGGCGAAGGCGGGUCUCUGGACAGUUCCUGACGCUGGAGG